rnacentral:rRNA from 1 species
AAUGAACGUUGGCGGCGUGGAUUAGGCAUGCAAGUCGUACGGGAAUCGUAGCAAUACGAGGAAAGUGGCGGAAGGGAGAGGAUUACGUGGGAAUCUACCCUCAGAACUGGGAUAGCGGCGGGAAACUGCCGGUAAUACCAGAUAAUGUCUGUGGACCAAAGGUGUGAUUCCGUCUGGGGAUGAGCCCACGUCCUAUUAGCUAGUUGGCAGGGUAAUGGCCUACCAAGGCAAUGAUGGGUAGCGGGUGUGAGAGCAUGACCCGCCUCACUGGGACUGAGAACUGCCCAGACACCUACGGGUGGCUGCAGUCGAGAAUCUUCGGCAAUGAGCGCAAGCUUGACCCGAGCGACGCCGCGUGCGGGAUGAAGGCCUUCGGGUUGUAAACCGCUGUCGUAGGGGAGCAAGAGAUGAGGGUACUCCCUCUGAUUUGAGCGAUCCUAGGGAGGAAGGGACGGGGCUAAGUUCGUGCCAGCAGCCGCGGGUAAUU